UCCGUGCAGCCUGGUCUUCAUAUGCGAGCCAGAGCCAGGCUAGCUAGGGAAACCUAUUAAAGUUUCAGACAUUGAUGGUUUGAUGGUCAAAGUUACAACGUCAGACUUAUGAUAAAUUGAGAUGGACUUGUCUUACGAUAGGAGGAAGUAACAAUAUAUAAUGGUUUGACUAUUUUCUAAAAGGAAUGUAAAUGAAAGUGAAUUUUCAUUCCACUGGUGUACUAGGAAAAUAUCUAGCCACCAGGUUCUGUACAAACCCUACAAAUACUAUUCCAGGUACUCUCAUCGCCUGUCUCUAGAGCCAUGCCAUGCUUGACCAAGUCAUAAGCCACUUGUCACUCUUCCUGGGACAGUACUGAAAAUUUUGUCAAAGCCGGUGUACAUCCAGAAGGGCCAGAACCCAGCUUAUCUGAAAAUCACGGCAUUGAUACUCAUGCCCCCAACACGUCCUAGAUCAGACAUUUGAUUCUUACUAUCUGAGCAAUGAUAUUUCUUCAGCUCAGCAUCUCAUGCAGUUUAAUAGUUUACCAACCAAUUUAAGUCUGCACUGAUAUGGAAGGAUAAAAGCUUACCGCAUACCUGAAUGCCCUAACCUGGAGGAAAGGUUAUUGCACAUCAUGAUUUCAUUGGGUUUGUUUCAUCUUGAAUUGUUGAUUAGUGUCGUACUUGUAACAUCUCCACCAAAGUUGAUAAUCAGCCACCACUGAAACGUAGAAUAAUGUUAGAAUCUGAUACCAGAAUUGACUAUUCAGGAUAUAACAUGUGUGCUAGAUUCUGAGGUUUCAGGAGGCCAAAAAUAUAAUGGCAUAAACCUACAGUUACCAAAAGGAAGCUAAAAAGCUUACAGCAUAGACAUUCUUUCUUGGUGAUGAAGAUGGUAAAGCACACCAUCUUGUUUAUAAAGCCAAAAAAGGCAUCUAGAUGAUGUUAUAUUCUAAAUUGUAGUACUCUUUGGCAAGACGAUUUUAAGAAAAAGAAACCUGGGAAAAAAACAAGAUUAUGUGAGGGAUGUUAUAUCUGCAUUCUUCAAUGAACGGAAAAGCAACCGCACACAUGUGAAAUGUCAAUUCCACAUGAAAGAAAAAACACAAUCAUUGUAAGCACAAUGCUGGCAGUUUAGCAAGUGUCAGCUAAGAAAAUGUUGAUUGUGUUCGUUACUGCGACAGUAUGAAAUCUAUGAGCACCAUUGUUAUUAAAACGUCGCUUAAACGUCGUUUAAGCGUCGUUUAAGCGUUAAAACGUGAUUAGCAGUUGGAACGUCCAAGCGUUUUAGGUAAGCCGCGUAGAACGUCCGUUUCGAGCGUUUAAGCGUCGCUUAAGCGUCCUAAUCGCGUUUUAGGACGUUUUAUGCGUGCUGAGGACGUUCUACCCGUUCUGGGCCUUUCCUGGGCCUUUAGGUUUUCCUCUAGGUGUUGGACGCACGCCACCCUCCUCUCUCCUCUCCUCCAACGGCUCAGCUGGCCGCCGCCCUCCUCUCUCGGUCUCUCCUCUCCUCCAACAGCUCAGCCGGCCGUCGCCCUCCUCUCUCGGUCUCUCCUCUCCUGGCUCCAACGGCUCAGCUGGCGCCACCGCCCUCCUCCCUCCUAUCCUCCAACAUCUCCGGCGCGUCUCUCCUCUCCUCAGCCGCGGAGGCAAAGCCGGCCGCUGACCGUGGAGGCACAGCUGACCGCCGGCCGUGGAGGCACAGCAGACCUGCACCACCGCUGGCCGCCUACCCCACAGCAGAUCUGCACCCAAGACCAGCAACCAGCCAGCCAUCCUCUGCGGCUCCACUCUGCCAGCGCCCAAGACCAGCACUAGCAGCCAGCCAUCCUCCACCUCCACUGCUCUCCAUUUGAUCAUUUGGUGAGUACUGAUUUUGCUCACAGUGAAUCAGUCAAUCUCUAUUUGCUCAACCAUAUUGGUGAGUACUGAACUACUGAUUGUGCAACCAUAUUGCUCACAGUGAAUUUCAAUUUGGUUUGUGAACUCAAGUACUCAACUUAUGUAUGAACUUAUUUUAUAUUUGAACUUCUAUGUGAAGUCUGAAAAGACGUUUCAACGUUCGUUUAAACGUUUAAAUGUUAAAAAGUUGGUUCAUAACGUUUUAAGGUUUUACCGUUUUAAUAACCAUGAUGAGCACCAAUCUUGUUUUCUUGUGCUUCACUCCAGAUUUGU
rnacentral:lncRNA from 1 species